rnacentral:rRNA from 1 species
AACAAGCACCUCAAGUGGUAAGGAGGAUUAUUGGGCCUAAAGCAUCCGUAGCAGGCUCUGCAAGUUUUCGGUUAAAUCCAAUUGCUCAACAAAUGAGCUGCAGAAUAUACUACAUAGCUAGGGAGUGGGAGAGGUAGACGGUAGUCGGUAGGAAGGGGUAAAAUCCUUUGAUCUAUUGAGGACCACCUAUGGCGAAGGCAGUCUACCAGAACACGUUCGACGGUGAGGGAUGAAAGCUGGGGGAGCAAACCGG